GUGUCGUCGUUUUGUCAAACUCACCACUUGCAGGUAUCUUCUCUAUGCGCACGUCUGGAUCUACCAUCACAGAUUGCGGUGGAGGAUGAUGAAAAUGUCGAAGCACAGUUCUAUCGUCAUGACAGAAAGAAAAUUGUCUCAGAAACAUACGUGGAAGUCUUGCAAGACCAUACGAAACGUUUCCUUUCCUUUCUGAGGAAUGGAAAAAUUUAUUGGUCUGUUUUGCAACAUUAAAGACACGUGGACAUUAAACGUGGAAAGAAGUGUAUGAUUUUACC